CUUUCAGUUAACAAGGGGUGUUGAAGACACACUAUCUUGAUGCCUUCAAGUAGCAUCAAAGUUUCAAUGGUAGUAAACUAUAGUGGGGUAUCGUGAUUGUCAUGUACCUAUUCAACCUGAUAUCCUAUUAAAUCUGUAUUUCCCACCUGGUUAUAGGUUGCUCCAUGCUUUCAUGUGCUAAGAAUUUUGUGUUCUCAAAUGGCCUGUAAGCACAUACAAGGCAGCCACAGUCACCUUAUGGUGAGUCUUUCCUGGUCCCAUCCCUCUCUCACCACUUCCACCCCACUUUUGGCACAGUGGGGAGAGGGGAUAAUUGAUCAUUCUCACAAAUCCUUCUUGAACUUCUAAAAUAUUUUCUGGUGAUCCACACAAGCCAUAUGGGGCCCAGGAAGAGAGAAGUCAGCACUCCCUGAGAAUCGGCCAUGCUGGGACUGGGUGGAGCCCACCAACAAUCCAACUAGCCAGCCUUUCUGGUAAGCUGUGCAAGCCAUGUGAUGCCCAGGAAGAGUGAAGCCACACCAUGCCUCCAGGGAGCCUUCCUCCAGGGACUGAGCAUCACCAACUCCUUCUCCCCCGCAGGAAGCAACCGGCUGGUUCCCUGGACAGGCUGAGUUGAUAGCAACUGAGGACUUUAAGCUGGUUAAUGGAAUCAAGGAUUACCUGCUUCUUGAUACUGACCCAUUUCUACAAAUACGCUGGAGAAAAUGUAUACACACGUGAAAGAAAAGUUAACGCAAAUGAAUACAACUUCUCAAAGACUUGACCUCAAACCACAAGAAGAAUGUUAAUGGUGUGGCUGAAUGAACCAUGUGGAGAAGACUCUGUGUGUGACUUACAUUUUUGGCAUUAAUGCCCCAAGUAUUGUUGUCAUCAUAGCACCAUUUCAGCUUUUUCUAUGCUGCUUUUCUGAAAUCCAAAGGUUGGAGACAGAGAUACUGUACUUGAGACUUUUUUGAAGUUUUAUUUUUAUCAAGGAGAAUAUAGCUGGCCCAAGAAACCCAUCCUCAAGAGGGGAUUCUGUAAUCUCAGUACUCUGGACAAGCUGAAGCAGGAGGAUCAUAAGUUUGAACCCAGUUUGAGCAACUUAGCAAGAGCCUUUCUCACAGAAAUUCAAAUUGUUUAUUUGUGACUCACAACCAAGAAUAAUCUUAACAGUUUGGUAUAACAUUGAAGAAUAAAGUAAGGCUGUAAAUUGUAAGGAAAUGAGAAGAUGUUGUUAACACUGAGGAAAGAAAACAGUAACGAUAGGAA